rnacentral:rRNA from 1 species
UACGUAGGGUGCAAGCGUUAAUCGGAAUUACUGGGCGUAAAGCGUGCGCAGGCGGUUAUGUAAGACAGGUGUGAAAUCCCCGGGCUUAACCUGGGAACUGCAUUUGUGACUGCAUAGCUAGAGUACGGUAGAGGGGGAUGGAAUUCCGCGUGUAGCAGUGAAAUGCGUAGAUAUGCGGAGGAACACCGAUGGCGAAGGCAAUCCCCUGGACCUGUACUGACGCUCAUGGCACGAAAGCGUGGGGAGCAAACAGG